rnacentral:misc_RNA from 1 species
UCAAACUUGGUCAUUUAGAGGAAGUAAAAGUCGUAACAAGGUUUCCGUAGGUGAACCUGCGGAAGGAUCAUUACUGAGUUUGGGUGCUUUUAUUGCACCGACUUUUUUUUUUCACCCUUGCGACUCAACUAUUUUGCUUGGUGGGCCAGGUUUGCCCCGUUGAAUUUUUUCAGCGAGUGCCCGCCAAAGUUUUUUUUUUUCCAAAAAAAUCUGCUGAAAACGUGGUCAUCUGAAUUUUUGCAAAUAUUAUAAUAACUAAAAAACUUUCAACAACGGAUCUCUUGGUUCUGGCAUCGAUGAAGAACGCAGC